rnacentral:tRNA from 1 species
GGAGAAGUACCCAAGAGGCCCAAGGGGCUCCCCUGCUAAGGGAGUAGCGUGCGAAAGUGCGGCCCGGGUUCGAAUCCCGGCUUCUCCGCCA